GACCGUAAGGACAUGUGGACAGUAUGGGAGUGAGAAUGUUGGCAUGAGUAGCGAGAUGUGGGUGGGAAUCCCACAGGCCGUAAACCCAAGGUUUCCAGGGGAAGGUUCGUCCGCCCUGGGUUAGUCGGGACCUAAGCUGCGGCCGAAAGGCGUAGGUGAUGGACAACAGGUUGAUAUUCCUGUACUACCGAUAACCGUUUGAGAGAAGGGAUGACACAGUAGGAUAAGCUAAGCACACUGUUGGUUAUGUGUGCCCAAGCAUUGAGGCAGUCAAAGUAGGCAAAUCCGCUUUGAUAAUGCUGGGAUGUGAUGGGGAGCGAAAUUUAGUAGCGAAGUAGCUGAUUUCACACUGUCAAGAAAAGUCUCUAUCGAGGUUAAAGGUACCCGUACCGCAAACCGACACAGGUGGGUGAGG
rnacentral:rRNA from 1 species